rnacentral:lncRNA from 1 species
GGCGAAAAACAGCAGGAGAUUUUGUGGGUGGUCAGGCUGAGAACAGUGACACUGGAGAUUCGCAUACAUGUGAAUUCUCCAUGUUUUUCUUUCUCUCUUUGAAUGAAUACAACGUCGCCCGGUUGGAAUAUUAUCGCUAUUUUACGAGAAAAAUAGCAUAAAAAUGGAUUUUAAACAGCGUUUGACAUGCUUCGAAGUACAGUAAUGAAAUAUUUUGAAUUUUUUUGUCACGAAAUGCGCUUGCGCUUCACCCUUCGGAUACUGACCUGAACGCACGAACAAAACGGAGCUAUUUCAAUAUAACUAUGGAUUAUUUGGAACCAAAACAACAUUUGUUGUUGAAGUAGAAGUCCUGAGAGUGCAUUCUGAUGAAGAACAGCAAAGCAUUGAUGUUUUUCUGUAGCACCCGGGAUGAAUGUGACUGACUCGGGAAGUCCAUACAAAGGAUCCGGGUCAGGGAAGUCAAACAUUUCUGGCUCUCAGAAGGCGCCAGAACGUUGAAUGAUGACUUUGCAGGCCAUGGCUGAAAAACAGUAGCGCAUUUGAUGAACGUGGUACCUUCAGGCGUUUGGAAAUUUCUCCCAAGGAUGAAACAGACUUCUGGAGUUCCACAAUUUUUUUCUAAAGUCUUGGCUGAUUUCUU